ACAAUAUUUACAAAAUUACAAUACUCUUGACCUUUUACCAUUAACUCAUGUAAGCACAAAUUAAUCAGUCCAAAAGAGACAACCGAAGAAAAAAGGCCUGAAAAAGAAGCGAAGCUCAUAUAAGGUGCGAAAUGCGAAUAGACACAGCAUCUAAAGUAUGCUAUAAAAAUGCUAAGUGAUGAUAUCAAGUAAUAACAUAAAAUAUCUCUGAAAAUGCUAAGAGAUGCCAUUGGAUGUCUAUAAGAAUUAAGUUGUAGUUGAUGCAUUAUUUGAAGUUCAUACGCACUAAUUUCGCUUUUCAUUGGUUCAACAAAGCUUAGUUGUUUCGUAACUUACAAGGAUCAGUUCAGUUUGGUUUCAUAGAAACAUGAUAUGAGAUUUUAAGUUCCUGUAUCCAUUGAGUACUACAUGAUUGGAGUGCAAUAUAUUACUUGGGGAAGUUAUCAAAUAAAAAAUGAACCAAAUAUCACAGAUGGAACUCUAUGCUCUUGAUGCUCUUGGUCAUAGGGAAUCCGAACUAACAGAAUUACAACGGAAAAUUGAACUGAUACGAAAGGAG